AUGUGUGGGGUGUCACACUCCCCAGACAGGGAGGGAAUUCUUUUUGGUAAAUGCCAUCUCAUUUACCAUGUCCUGCCCCAUUUGCUUUCCUUUGCAGUAGAAGAUGCCUCAAGCCAAAAGGAGGAAGGAGAGGUGGCAUCUCCAGACCUGGCCAAGGCAAACCUCAGGGUGUGUGAAGACCCACCCCCACUGAAAGGGCCAGAUGUCAUCAUGCCUAUCCUCAAGGAUGAUGGGUCCUACAUGCUCUGUGGAUUUUGGGCAGAUGAUGAUGCUGAAGCUCCAAUCUGGGCCUGUGUUGGGGCCUGGCAUCCUACAAUCCAGCAGCCCAUCUGCUGUACUGAGGCCAUUGUGGGGUGUGUGGAGACCCACCCCCACUGGAAGGGCCAGAUGCCAUCGUGCCUGUCCUCAAGGAUGACAGAUCCUACCUGCUCUGUGGAUACUGGGCUGAUGAGCCUGAAGCACCAGCCCAGGCCUGGGCUAGGGCCUGGCACUUUACAACCCAGCAACCCCUCUGCUGUGCUGAGGCCAUUGUGGUGGAAGACUCCUCAAACAAAAAGGAGAAAGUCAAGGGGGCAUCCUCAGAUCAGGCUGAGGCUAUGUCCAGGGUGGGUGAAGAUCCACCCCCACUGGAAGGGCCAGAUGUCAUCACACCUAUCCUCAAGGAUGAUGGGUCCUACAUGCUCUGUGGAUUUUGGGCAGAUGAUCCUGAAGCACCAGUCCAGGCCUGUGCUGAGCCCUGGUACCUUACAACCCAGAAGCCCAUUUGCUGUGCUGAAGCCAUUGCGGUGGAAGAGCCCUCCUGCAAAAAGGAGGAAGGGGACUCGGCAUCUGCAGAGCAGGCCGAGGCUAUACCCAUGUAAGUUGGCAGAUGGGGUGGAGGUUGUUUAUUAUGGACUCCUGGAGAUGGCAGACAUGGGGAGGAGAGAAUGUGCCCCAUAAGCAAUAUUUACCAUUCAAAGCUCCGCCCAGGAAAUCUCUGCUUGCACCUCUUCAAAGUUCCAUGUGGUGAGGCUGGCCCCAAACACUGUCCAGGUCAGCCCAAACCUCCAACCUCCAUUGGAAACCUGCAGAAGUUUGCCUGGGGAACAUUCACCUGUCCAGGCCAUUUGUAAUGCCACUGCUUCUGUGUGGCCUCCAUAAAAAGAAAGGGGCCACUCCCUUGGCCCUUCUGCUAAUCCCUCAUCAGCAUCCCUGCAGUACGAUGAUUGAGACAGAGAAUGCCCAAGCACUGGUGUACUAAACAGCACUGAGAAAAAUGGGACCCAAUCCCAUUUCUGUCUGUGGUAGUAAAGUGCUUAGCUGGGUUGGAACAUUCUACACCAUGGGGAUUCUUUUCCCUGAAACUAGACAACUGGCUUCUGGCCAGCUUGUCCUUUUCUGUCCCCAGGGGUCUGGGAGAGAGCUACCAGAGCCCUCUGCUCCUAGAAUGCUUUCUGGCCUUCUAUUGACAGCGACCUCUCCUUCUUUCUUCCUGUCCCAUCCUCUCUGCAUCCUGCUGUGUCUGCCUUAUCCCUGUGAAGGGUCUCUUUGAACAAGGGGAGGAUCUAGAUCAGACAGCUCUUAGAGAGUGCUCCUGUCCCUAUUGGGGAAAGACACUUUCUGAGAGCUAGGAAGGGUUAGUGGGGCUGGGCUGCAACUGAAUGACUUUGUGUUAAGCCCUCAUCUUUUCCUCCUCUCUUGUCCUGC
ensembl:lncRNA